rnacentral:rRNA from 1 species
CAGUAGCCGCGGGAAUACGGAGGGUGCAAGCGUUAAUCGGAAUUACUGGGCGUAAAGCGUGCGUAGGCGGUUCGUUAAGUCUGUUGUGAAAGCCCCGGGCUCAGCCUGGGAAUGGCAAUGGAUACUGGCGAGCUAGAGUGUGUCAGAGGAUGGUGGAAUUCCCGGUGUAGCGGUGAAAUGCGUAGAGAUCGGGAGGAACAUCAGUGGCGAAGGCGGCCAUCUGGGACAACACUGACGCUGAGGCACGAAAGCGUGGGGAGCAAACAGGAUUAGAUACCCCUGUAGUCCCUGUCUCUUAUAC